rnacentral:rRNA from 1 species
CACAUGCAAGUCGAGCGGCAGCACGGGUACUUGUACCUGGUGGCGAGCGGCGGACGGGUGAGUAAUGCCUAGGAAUCUGCCUGGUAGUGGGGGAUAACGCUCGGAAACGGACGCUAAUACCGCAUACGUCCUACGGGAGAAAGCAGGGGACCUUCGGGCCUUGCGCUAUCAGAUGAGCCUAGGUCGGAUUAGCUAGUUGGUGAGGUAAUGGCUCACCAAGGCGACGAUCCGUAACUGGUCUGAGAGGAUGAUCAGUCACACUGGAACUGAGACACGGUCCAGACUCCUACGGGAGGCAGCAGUGGGGAAUAUUGGACAAUGGGCGAAAGCCUGAUCCAGCCAUGCCGCGUGUGUGAAGAAGGUCUUCGGAUUGUAAAGCACUUUAAGUUGGGAGGAAGGGCAGUUACCUAAUACGUAUCUGUUUUGACGUUACCGACAGAAUAAGCACCGGCUAACUCUGUGCCAGCAGCCGCGGUAAUACAGAGGGUGCAAGCGUUAAUCGGAAUUACUGGGCGUAAAGCGCGCGUAGGUGGUUUGUUAAGUUGGAUGUGAAAUCCCCGGGCUCAACCUGGGAACUGCAUUCAAAACUGACAAGCUAGAGUAUGGUAGA